AUGGCGUUAGAAGAUGGGGUGCCUGAUAACCUCUACACCAUGUCCCUUAUCCACAUGAUAUUUUUUGCUGCUACUUCAAAGCCAGGCAUGGAGUUCUGGAACUCUGCGGGUGUGAGCUUGGAAUCCAGACUCACUGGUGGUAGCAGAUGCUGCUUGCCAAAUCACAACACUCUUUCUGUGUUUGAAAAAGACAUCCCAAAUCUUAAAGGACUCAUCGCCAAGGGCCGUGUGAUCCAUGGACAGAGGAAGGGCGCCGGGUCUGUGUUCUGCGCGCACGUGAAGCACGGUAAGGGCGCCGCGUGCCUGCGCGCAGUGGAUUUUGCCGAGCCGGCACGGCUACAUCAAGGGCAUCGUGAAGGACAUCAUCCACGACCUGAGCCGCGGCGCGCCCCUCGCCAAGGUGGUCUUCCGGAAUCCCUACCAGUUUAAGAAGAGGGCAGAGCUGUUCAUUGCCCCCGAGAGCAUUCACAUGGGCCAGUUUGUGUAUUGCAGCAAGAAGGCCCCGCUCAACACUGGCAAUCCGCUCCCUGUGGGCACCAUGCCUGAGGGUACGAUCGUGUGCUGCCUGGUGGAGAAGCCUGGAGACCGUGGCAAGCUGGCCCAGGCAUCAGGGAACUAUGCCACCGUUUUCUCCCACAACCCUGAGACCAAGAAGACCCAUGUGAAGCUGCCCUCUGGCUCCAAGAAGGUUAUCUCCUCAGCCAACAGAUCUGUGGUUGGUGUGGUGGCUGGAGUGGCCGAACUGAAAAACCCAUCUUGAAGUGUGGCCGGGCCUACCACAAAUAUAAGACAAAGAGGAACUGCUGGCCACGGGUACGGGGUGUGGCCAUGAACCCUGUGGAGCAUCCAUUUGAAGGUGGCAACCACCAUCACAUCGGCAUGCCCUCCACCAUCCACAGAGAUGCCUCAGCUGGCCGCAAAGUGGGUCUCAUAGCUGCCGGUGGAACUGAAUGUCUCCGGGGAACCAAGACUGUGCAGGAGAAAGAGAACUAGUGAUGAGGGGCUCAAUAAAGUUUGUCUUUAUG